GAUGAACGCUGGCGGCGUGCCUAAUACAUGCAAGUAGAACGCUGAAGGAAGGAGCUUGCUCUUUCCGGAUGAGUUGCGAACGGGUGAGUAACGCGUAGGUAACCUGCCUGGUAGCGGGGGAUAACUAUUGGAAGCGAUAGCUAAUACCGCAUAACAGUAGAUGUUGCAUGACAUCUAUUUGAAAGGGGCAAUUGCUCCACUACCAGAUGGACCUGCGUUGUAUUAGCUAGUUGGUGAGGUAACGGCUCACCAAGGCGACGAUACAUAGCCGACCUGAGAGGGUGAUCGGCCACACUGGGACUGAGACACGGCCCAGACUCCUACGGGAGGCAGCAGUAGGGAAUCUUCGGCAAUGGACGGAAGUCUGACCGAGCAACGCCGCGUGAGUGAAGAAGGUUUUCGGAUCGUAAAGCUCUGUUGUAAGAGAAGAACGAGUGUGAGAGUGGAAAGUUCACAA
rnacentral:rRNA from 1 species